rnacentral:rRNA from 1 species
GACGAACGCUGGCGGCGUGCUUAACACAUGCAAGUCGAACGGAAAGGCCCUGCUUUUGUGGGGUGCUCGAGUGGCGAACGGGUGAGUAACACGUGAGUAACCUGCCCUUGACUUUGGGAUAACUUCAGGAAACUGGGGCUAAUACCGGAUAGGGGCUCCUGCUGCAUGGUGGGGGUUGGAAAGUUUCGGCGGUUGGGGAUGGACUCGCGGCUUAUCAGCUUGUUGGUGGGGUAGUGGCUUACCAAGGCUUUGACGGGUAGCCGGCCUGAGAGGGUGACCGGCCACAUUGGGACUGAGAUACGGCCCAGACCCCUACGGGAGGCAGCAGUGGGGAAUAUUGCACAAUGGGCGGAAGCCUGAUGCAGCAACGCCGCGUGCGGGAUGACGGCCUUCGGGUUGUAAACCGCUUUCGCCUGUGACGAAGCGUGAGUGACGGUAAUGGGUAAAGAAGCACCGGCUAACUACGUG